AGGGUUUGAUUCUGGCUCAGGACGAACGCUGGCGGUGCGCCUUAUGCAUGCAAGUCGAGCGAAGCUUUUCAGUAGUUUACUACAGAAAAUGACUGAGCGGCGAACGGGUGAGUAACGCGUGAGCAAUCUACCUUAGUUACAGGGAUAGCCCGAGGAAACUCGGAUUAAUACCUGAUAUUCUUUAUUUCUCGCAUGAGAAUAAAAGGAAAGGUCAGCCGAACUAAGAUGAGCUCGCGUUCUAUCAGCUAGUUGGUGAGGUAAAAGCUUGCCAAGGCUACGACGGAUAGCUGGUCUGAGAGGACGAUCAGCCACACUGGGACUGAGACACGGCCCAGACUCCUACGGGAGGCUGCAGCAGGGAAUAUUGUGCAAUGAACGAAAGUUUGACACAGCGACACCGCGUGUGGGAUGACGGAUCUAGGUUUGUAAACCACUUUCAGGAGGGAAGAAAAUGACGGUACCUCCACAAGAAGCCCCGGCCAACUACGUGCCAGCCGCCGCGGUAAUAC
rnacentral:rRNA from 1 species